rnacentral:misc_RNA from 1 species
AAGUCGUAACAAGGUUUCCGUAGGUGAACCUGCGGAAGGAUCAUUACCGAAUUGUCAACAAGAGUUGUUGCUGGUCCUCCAACAGGGGGGGCAUGUGCACGCUCUGUUCACACAUCCACUCACACCCUGUGCACUCUCUGUAGUUCCAUGGCUCCCCGCUGUGGUUCUGCUUCUUUACACACACGCUGUAACAAAGUCUCAUGGAAUGCAUGCCGCGUUUAACGCAAUACAAUACAACUUUCAGCAACGGAUCUCUUGGCUCUC